rnacentral:lncRNA from 1 species
GGAAGUGGCUUAAUGAUCCUGAAGGGAUUUCUUCUGAUGGUAGCUUUUGUAUUAUCAAACUUUUUUCAGAUAACAUCUUCUGAGUCAUAACCAGCCUGGCAGUAUGAUGGCCUAGAUGCAGAGAAAACAGCUCCUUGGUGAAUUGAUAAGUAAAGGCAGAAAAGAUUAUAUGUCAUACCUCCAUUGGGGAAUAAGCAUAACCCUGAGAUUCUUACUACUGAUGAGAACAUUAUCUGCAUAUGCCAAAAAAUUUUAAGCAAAUGAAAGCUACCAAUUUAAAGUUACGGAAUCUACCAUUUUAAAGUUAAUUGCUUGUCAAGCUAUAACCACAAAAAUAAUGAAUUGAUGAGAAAUACAAUGAAGAGGCAAUGUCCAUCUCAAAAUACUGCUUUUACAAAAGCAGAAUAAAAGCGAAAAGAAAUGAAAAUGUUACACUACAUUAAUCCUGGAAUAAAAGAAGCCGAAAUAAAUGAGAGAUGAGUUGGGAUCAAGUGGAUUGAGGAGGCUGUGCUGUGUGCCAAUGUUUCGUUUGCCUCAGACAGGUAUCUCUUCGUUAUCAGAAGAGUUGCUUCAUUUCAUCUGGGAGCAGAAAACAGCAGGCAGCUGUUAACAGAUAAGUUUAACUUGCAUCUGCAGUAUUGCAUGUUAGGGAUAAGUGCUUAUUUUUAAGAGCUGUGGAGUUCUUAAAUAUCAACCAUGGCACUUUCUCCUGACCCCUUCCCUAGGGGAUUUCAGGAUUGAGAAAUUUUUCCAUCGAGCCUUUUUAAAAUUGUAGGACUUGUUCCUGUGGGCUUCAGUGAUGGGAUAGUACACUUCACUCAGAGGCAUUUGCAUCUUUAAAUAAUUUCUUAAAAGCCUCUAAAGUGAUCAGUGCCUUGAUGCCAACUAAGGAAAUUUGUUUAGCAUUGAAUCUCUGAAGGCUCUAUGAAAGGAAUAGCAUGAUGUGCUGUUAGAAUCAGAUGUUACUGCUAAAAUUUACAUGUUGUGAUGUAAAUUGUGUAGAAAACCAUUAAAUCAUUCAAAAUAAUAAA